rnacentral:rRNA from 1 species
UACGUAGGGGGCCAGCGUUGUUCGGAAUUACUGGGUGUAAAGGGUUCGUAGGCGGUGCGGCAAGUUGGGAGUGAAAUCUCUGGGCUCAACCCAGAGACGGCUUCCAAAACUGCUGUGCUUGAGUGUGAGAGAGGCUCGUGGAAUUGCAGGUGUAGCGGUGAAAUGCGUAGAUAUCGUAAGGAAGACCAGUGGCGAAGGCGGGUCUCUGGGCAGUAACUGACGCUGAGGAGCGAAAGCGUGGGGAGCGAACAGG